rnacentral:rRNA from 1 species
CCUACGUGAGGCAGCAGUGAGGAAUAUUGGUCAAUGGGCGCGAGCCUGAACCAGCCAAGUAGCGUGAAGGAUGACUGCCCUACGGGUUGUAAACUUCUUUUAUAUAGGAAUAAAGUGAGGCACGUGUGCCUUUUUGUAUGUACUUUAUGAAUAAGGAUCGGCUAACUCCGUGCCAGCAGCCGCGGUAAUACGGAGGAUCCGAGCGUUAUCCGGAUUUAUUGGGUUUAAAGGGAGCGUAGAUGGGUUGUUAAGUCAGUUGUGAAAGUUUGCGGCUCAAACGUAAAAUUGCAAGUGAUACUGGCAGUCUUGAGUACAGUAGAGGUAGGUGGAAUUCGUGGUGUAGCGGUGAAAUGCUUAGAUAUCACGAAGAACUCCGAUUGCGAAAGCAGCUUACUAAACUGCCACUGACAUUGAUGCUCGAAAGUGAGGGUAUCAAACAGGAUUAGAUACCCGUGUAGUC